CAGUACCCUCAGGGGGGAACGACCCGCAGCGCAGACAGGAUGAAGUGGAGGAAAUUGAAAGGCAGAUUGACAGGAAUGAUGACGGCAGAGCGUUGCCCCCCUGCGGGUCGGUUUGUGAAAAGCCGGGAAGUGAUGGCGGAGGGGUGGACGGUCUCUCUGGGCGGCCAUAAAGGGAGCUCAUGAAUGGCCGCUCCGAUGCUUUAAAGGGCAAAGUGCCGGCAUGGGGUGCGUAAUGAAAAAGGAUGCUGCCGGUCCUCAGAGGACCAAACGGUUUUCCCCCAAGCCGAGAACUUAAAGAAAAGAAGUGAACCUUCCAGGAAAAGAGCUGGAUGAAGCAUAAAGUAACACUAAAUGUGCAGAAGUGGAGCCUCCUGCACAACCAGCAAGAAUGCACCAAGCGGUUUCUGAACAGCGAGUCAACAACAAAACACAUCGCUUUUCCAGCAGCCAUUGUAUGGUGCACCGCUGAUGUUUUGUGUGUUUUAAAGUAUUUUUUAAUGUCUGCUUUUUUGUUUUGUUUCUAUUUGUAUUUUUGUGUUUUGAUUUUGUGUGUUUGUAUUUGAAACGGCUUCUAGUUUGGCAAAGACUAAUGGGGAUCCAUUUUAUCUUUAUUUAACAGGGAUCCUUCAGUAAGCAAGUAAAAAAAAAAAAAAAAACUGUCUUGGAGUUCCGCUGGGGUUGCUAGGUAACAGGCUGGGCUUCCGUGAGGUUGCUAGGUAACGGGCAGUGCCUGCUGAUUUUGUGACGUUACAUUCCAAAGGUUUUAUGUUGCACUUGAAUUUCUCCACUGUAGGACAGUGAAGAAUAUUUCAAUUUUAUUUCUAUUUCAUGAUAAUA